ACACUACAGAGGAGUCCCACAAUAGAACGAAACGGUCGUCUAGUGC
rfam:Schistosoma margrebowiei strain Zambia genome assembly, scaffold: SMRZ_scaffold0000258